rnacentral:tRNA from 2 species
AUCGCCGAUAUCGUACAUGGUCGCGAUCCUCGUCUUCUGGUGGUGUGUGGUCCUUGUUCCAUUCAUGACGUUGAUGC